UACGGGGGGGGUAAGCGUUGUUCGGAAUUACUGGGCGUAAAGGGCUCGUAGGCGGCCAACUAAGUCAUACGUGAAAUCCCUCUGCUUAACUGGGAACUGCGUAUGAUACUGGAUGGCUUGGAUUUGGGAGAGGGAUGCGGAAUUCCAGGUGUAGCGGUGAAAUGCGUAGAUAUCUGGAGGAACACCGGUGGCGAAGGCGGGUCUCUGGGCCGAUACUGACGCUGAGGAGCGAAAGCGUGGGGAGCGAACAGG
rnacentral:rRNA from 1 species